UUUAGCAGCAGGUUGCAAGUGAAUAUGGGCUUGAGUUUUGUUCCUAAAUAAAUGAGAAAGAUGCUUCAACAAAGAUUCUUUAUGCUGAAUAAUUAUGAUGCAUGAAGGUGGUAAUCUGCUUUGUUUAAGUGGAUUUUAAAUGCCAGACAAUUCUAGACAGUUUUUUCUUGAUCAAAUAAAAAUUUAAUUAAAACUUAAAAAAA